rnacentral:RNase_P_RNA from 1 species
CAGCCAGUCAGCGGGCAGUUGCUGUUUAGCAAUAAACAGAGGAAAGUCCGGACUCCCUGGAUACUAAAGUAUCCAGUCGUGAUAACGGGUAACACCCGCCGCAUCAGUUGUGAGACUGAUGUAGGGAAAGUGCCACAGAGACUAUACUAGCGACUAAGUCGUCAAAGGUGAAAAGUCAGCUGGUGUUGCGCUUACCGCAGCUACAGCUGUCCCUAGUCAGUAAUGGCUAGGCGUGGUAAACCCUAUCUGGAGCAAGAACAAACUAACAGCUAACUGUUAGACAAAGUGGUUCGCAGGAGCUUUUGAGUAAUCAAAAGCCAAGACAAAUAACUGCCGUUUCGUUUUUUACGAAAUACAAAAUCCGGCUUAUAGCUGAUGGCUGGUCU